rnacentral:misc_RNA from 1 species
GAUGAAGAACGUAGCGAAAUGCGAUAAGUAAUGUGAAUUGCAGAAUUCAGUGAAUCAUCGAAUCUUUGAACGCACAUUGCGCCCGCCAGUAUUCUGGCGGGCAUGCCUGUCCGAGCGUCAUUUCAACCCUCGAACCCCUCCGGGGGGUCGGCGUUGGGGACCUCGGGAGCCCCUAAGACGGGAUCCGGCCCCGAAAUACAGUGGCGGUCUCGCCGCAGCCUCUCCUGCGCAGUAGUUUGCACAACUCGCACCGGGAGCGCGGCGCGUCCACGUCCGUAAAACACCCAACUUCUGAAAUGUUGACCUCGGAUCAGGUAGGAAUACCCGCUGAACUUAAGCAUAUCAAUAAGCGGAGGA